UACGUAGGGUGCGAGCGUUAAUCGGAAUUACUGGGCGUAAAGCGUGCGCAGGCGGUUUUGUAAGCCAGAUGUGAAAUCCCCGGGCUUAACCUGGGAAUGGCAUUUGGGACUGCAAGGCUCGAGUGCGGCAGAGGAGACUGGAAUUCCUGGUGUAGCAGUGAAAUGCGUAGAUAUCGGGAGGAACAUCUGUGGCGAAGGCGACACCCUGGACCAGCACUGACACUGAGGCACGAAAGCGUGGGGAGCAAACAGG
rnacentral:rRNA from 1 species